rnacentral:misc_RNA from 1 species
AAUGUGCAUGAGGAGGAGCUAGCAUGUUGUAGUGCUAAUGAUAGGGUGCCAGAAAAUGUCCACCAAAUUGCCUCUACAGACCCUAGAACUUCUAAAAAUCAUCUAAUUUAGUGACGUUGCCAACCACUUCUUUGUCUCCUACUUUUGAAAUGGUGACGAUAAAUAAAGAAAAGGAGUGGUUAAAGCCAUCACCCAUUAAUUUGGAGGACCGGCGUAGAGUGGAGGAAGUUGGUUUGUGUGGGUCCAAUAUUGAGUCCAUUGCAGAGUUUGUCGAUGGUAAUGAUAGUCUUGUUAGUAAUGGUCCCUUAGCACAAAUUAAAGCAGAAAGACUUAUAAAGUUGAGAAAAGAGGCCUGAACCAUUGUUGAUAUUUGGGGCCUUUACCCAAAAUUGGGUUUUGGGGUAGGUCUAAGGUUAGUAGGGCCCAAAUCAAAAGUAAGUCGGCCUCUUAUAGUUACAGACAGUCAAAUUAAGAGGAUGAAUAAUCUGUAGCCAGCAAUGUCUAAUAGCAUCACACCUCAAAGAGAAGCUUUGGCUACAGUGGAUUUAGGGAGAAGAUUGGGAGCUUCUAUUUGAUAAUGAAGAAGAUGGCCUGAUUAACAAUUUAACUGGACACAUCUCGGCUGAUCCCCCUGAUAAUAAACAGAGGUAAUGCUGCUAGCAAAGAGCUCUCUCAAUAAAGUAACUCUUAAGAGUUUUUUUAGGAGGUCGUAAGAACAAUGGCAUCAGUUAUUUCAUGGGAUAUUAGAGGUUUGGAUGGUUCUUCGAAACAGUCAAAGUUGUGCAGGUUGAUGCGCAAACAUGAUAUUGAUGUUUUUGCAGUUCUGGAAUUGAAGUGUUCAACAACAUCUUUUAUAGUGAUUAGACGGACAUGGAAUUUGGGUGACUUUGAAUGGGCAUGCAUAGAUUCUGAAGGGAGCUCCGGAGGUAUGUUAGUUGUUUGGAAUAAGAAGUCAUUUGCUGUUAGUAGCAAACGAGUUUUUACCAGGUGGAUCUUACUGAAAGGUUCUUUCUUAAAUUGUAAUUUUGAAACUUUGAUUGCAUUUGUGUAUGCUCCUUGUGAAGUAAAUAAGCAAGAGAGGCUUUGGUUUGAAAUAGAGGAUGAGUUGCAUAAUGUAGGUCACCCUAUUUUAUUAAUGGGGGAUUUUAACCAGGUGUUGGCCAUUUCAGAAAGAAAAAGUGGUCAUUUUUCGAAGCGGUAUGGAAAAGGUUCGAAGCUUUGUUAAUGAUUGGGUGCUAUGGAUUUAGUUUUAAAUGGUAAGAAUUUACAUGGCGAAAUUCUUUUUCGGCUAGCAGGAUUGAUCGAGCUAUGGUAUCUCAACAAUGGGCAUCAAAGUUUCCUAAUCUUAUGUUGGCUGCGUUACCGAGAGGGCAUUCAGACCAUAACCCAAUAUUAAUUUCAACAUCUGUCCCGGAUUGGGGUCCGAAGCAGCUAGAUUUAUCGAUGCUUGGUGGUUAUGGCCACGGUUUGAGGAUGUUGUUAUGAAUUUUUGGAAGGAGCUAUCUCCGUCUAAUUCUACUUCUUUACCAGUGAAGAUUAGAGCUUCGAAGCAGAAACUGUUUCAAUGGAAUGUGGUGGUUUUCGGUAAUGUUGAUGUGAAAGUAGCUAAGUUAAACUCGGAAGUGGAUAAAUGGGAAAGCAUUGCUGAGUCAAGAAACCUUUUAAUGUCUGAGGAAUCAUUAGUGGAUCAAUUGAAAGCUGAAAACAUAUUUGGGAAGUGAGUCAGGAGAGUUUAUGGAGGCAAAAGGCUCGCACAAACAGGUGUAAACUUGGUGAUAGAAACACCAAGUUCUUCCACCUCCAGUGUUCCAACAGGUGGAGGAAGAAUAGGAUCUGCUCUAUUUCGGACGGGAAUCGUUUUUGAAAGAAAGGAUGAAAUUAGGAGUAUCAUUGUCAACCAUUUUCAGAAUAGAUUUUGCCAGAUUUUCAAUCUAUCGGGGAGGGAUUCAAAUUUGGGUUUCAAAAGAUUAUCUGUUGAAGAUGCGUAGAAACUGGAAGCACCUUUCUUUUUGGAUGAAAUUAAGGAAGCUAUAUGGCAACGUGGUUCUGUGAAAGCUCCUGGUCCUGAUGGAGCAAAUUUUCUGUUUUAUAAGAAAGCGAGGCAGCUGAUAAAGGAUGAUUUAAUGUUGAUGUUGAAUGAAUUUUAUAAUUCUGCUUCUCUUCCAAAUGUGGUGCAUUCAUCUGUUAUAGCUCUCAUUCCUAAAGUGGCUGGAUCUUCUAAAGUUCAAGAUUUUAGACCUAUUACUCUAAUCCAAGGGCUGUAUAAACUAGUUUCAAAGGUUUUGGCAAACCGAGCUAAAGAGGCAUUGCCUUUCUUAAUUAGCCCAUCUGAGAGUGCAUUUGUGGGUGGAAGACAAAUCUUGGAUUGUUAUUUAAUUGCAAGUGAAGUGGUGGCCUUUUUUAAGGGAUCUAGAAGGAUGUGUUUCUUACUGAAAAUCGAUUUUGACAAGGCUUAAGUUUCAUUGAAGUGGGAACAUAUUGUUGAAGUUAUGAAAUGUAUGGGCUUUGGGCAAAAGUGGAGAGGUUGGAUUAUGUCUUGUGUGUCCAAUGCUAGGGCCUCCAUAUUCAUUAACAGUAAUCCUUCCGAAGAGUUUCAUAUGAGGAAUGUGGUGAGACAAGGAGACCCUCUAUCUCUAUUCCUCUUUGUUUUGGCAGUUGAACUAGUGUCCCUUCUAGUUUCCAAGGCAUGUGAAGUUGGGGAUCUUGAAGGAGUUAAAGUGGGCGCAGGUUCUGUAUCAAUUACACAUCAGCAAUUUGCAGAUGACACGAUUUUAUUCUGUCCUUGCAAGAUUGAAUUCAUUCAAGUUAUCUCCAGAAUUCUUCAAAUCUUUUACAUUUUUUCUGGAUUGAAGGUGAAUUUCCACAAAACAUUUCUGGUUGGGAUUAAUGUGGAAGAUGUUUUGGUUCAAGAAGCAGCUGAUGUUGGCAAUUUACCCAUGAAGUAUCUAGUCUUUCUCUUGGGUUCUAGGGGAGGGUUAGGAUUCUCCAAUAUCCUGAUUCAGAACCAAGCUCUCCUGUUUAAGUGGGUUUGGAGGCUUCAACAAUCUCCAGGUGUGAUGUGGCUAUCCCUUCUUAAAGAUAAGUAUCUGUUUCAUUCGGAUGGAGGUCUUCAAUUGGCAUCUGGAGGGAAUUUGUCUAUGGUGUGGAGAGACAUCCAAAGAUUUGCGGCUCUAAAGGUGAACAAUUUUGCUAUUUGUGAAACCUUUUGUUUUGUGGUUGGUAAUGGGGAAAAGGUUUUGUUUUGGCAUGAUUCUUGGGCAUCUAAUCGACCUCUAAAAGAUGAGUUUCCGAGACUGUUUGUGUUGUCAUCUCAACAAGAUGCCUAUGUAGUGGGUAUGGGUUCUUCGGUUGGAGUAAAUUGGUUAUGGAAAUUAGAGUGGAGAAGGCAGCUCCUUCAAUGGGAAAUGAGUCUAUUGGAUAGAUUAUUUUCUGUAUUGUAUGCUGUUAAACUUUGUAGUAAUAGAGAAGAUAGGCUGGUAUGGAAACCAGCGUCAAAUGGUUUGUUCUCUGUGUCAUCCCUUUACAAAUCCAUGGUAUCUGCAUCCACAAUGGAGGAGUUGGUGUCACCUUCAAUCUGGUUGGGUUAUGGCCCACCAAAAGCAGAGUUGCUGCCAUGGUUUUUUCGCAGAAAUAAAUUAUGUUGUCGUGAUUGGUUGUGUCAUUUUGGUGUUAGUCCUCAAUCGGAGAACCUAUGUCCUUUUUGUUUUCAGUUUGAGGAAACCAUUCUGCAUUUGUUUCUUUUUUGCACUUUUUGGUGGCAAGUGUGGUGUUGGUUUAUUAAAUGGUGGGAUUGCAGCUUUUCUAUUCCAGGUUCAGUUUCGGAUUUGUAUGAGCAGUGGAAGAAUAUGAGCAUAGGUCAUUUUCAGAAAGUCUUUUGGAUUACUUUGUUUUAUACAAUUGUGCGGUCCUUAUGGGUAGAGAUAUGAAAGAGUUUUUAAUCAGAAGGGAUGUUCAGUGCCUUCUUUGUGCUCCUUAAUUUUGCAUCGAGUGUCAGUUUGGAUGAAAGCUUCUAACACCGAGUUUCCUUUUUCUGGUAGGGAUCUGUUAGUCUCUGUUGAUUGUGUGAGGUGUUGGACAAAUUUAAAGAAGGUCCGACCCUCCAUUUCUUGGUCUCCACCUCCAUCUGCCUCAUUGAAAUGGAAUGUUAAUGGUUCGUCUAAAGAUAAGCCAGGUGCUAGUGGGAUUGGUUGUGUAUUGAGAGAUCAUGGAGAGUCAUUUUUGUGUGUUUUCUCCUGCAGAAUAGGAGUUGCCGACUCAAAUCUUGCAGAACUCUUGGCUAUUGGUAAAGCUAUGGAGUUGAGCAUUAAUUCUAUUGACCUUUUCAGUGAGAUUGUGGAGGUGAUUGCAGAGUCGGAUUCCAAAUCUGCAAUUUCAUGGGUUAGUAAUCCAGAUGCGGCACCUUGGAGAUUUUUUCAAUUACUAAUGGCAUCUUGUCAUGUUUACAGCAAUUUCAGCAAGUGUCAUUUGUCCAUACACCCCAUGAAGCUAAUACUCUUUGCAAGGCAGGGAGUUGCUCGCUGCUCUGAUCUUGUUGCCUUUUUUUUAGUAGUUUUGUGGUUUUUGUUUAUUUGCGGGGGCAGUCUGCUAUUUUCUAUUGGUUUUUGGUGUGGAUUUGGUUUUUUUAGCAUGGUAAUUAAGCCAUCUAUGAUGCUGUUGGGUAAGUUAUGAUGCAUUUGGGUUAUGGCUUAUGAAGUUAUUGAGUUAUUUUGUUGUGCUAUUAGGAUCUGUUUUGGUGAGUUGAGAUUUUCUGCUGCUGUCUGCAUGUUGUCCACUGCCUUAGUUUCUGGUCUGCAGAAUGCUGUUUUUUGGGGCUGUUUGUUUUCGCUUCUUGGUCCUCUUCGUUAUGGUUGGCGAUUAUAAGUAUGAAUUUGUUGUGUUUGCUUGUUUAUGUUUGUGUUUGCUUGUUUAUGUGGGCUAUUGGAUGUUUGAAUAUUUGGUCUUUAGUUAUGUUUAUCAUGGUCUCGGUUCUGUUUUGCUUUAUAUCAAUUUGUAUUGUUGUUUUGGUUAUUUCACGAUCGUUUUGGUCUGUUCAGUUUUAUUUUGUAUUUUGUUUUGUAUCGUUUUUCUUCAGGUUUUUUCACUUAGCCUGCAUCAUCCUAGGAAAUGGGUGUAUUGGGUGGUCUGCUCACUGGGCUCUAGUUGGAUGGUGUGAGCAAGUUUUUCCAGUAUAUUAUUAAUAAAAUCUUCUGCUUAUAAAAGAAAAUAUAUUUUAAGUAAAUAGUGAGAAAAAAGAAGUAAUAUUGUAAUUUACUGUCAAUCUGUUAACUCUCAGCACUGCAGAUGAUGCCUGUAAUACUAAAAAGAAAUGACUACAAAGUUGCAUAGUCUCCAAAAAGAUGGAAUGAAUAGAAGUGAUGCAAUGAAUGAAUGAACUUUUAUUUAAUAAUGUUAAGUCGUUUUAAUAAGCACUAAAUUAUUUAAUAAUAUUUAGUGAUAUUGAAAUUGCAGACUUGUAUUUGUUUCUGUUUCUCUGGUUUGAUCAACGGCGAUCAUUUUCAGUUCAAACAUGUAAAGAUCAUAGCAUAGCUUCUACU